AGAUGUAUUAGUCAAAUCAGCUUCUUGAGAAGCAAAAAACUUAAUACUGUAUUGUUUCAAUCCAUCAAACCAAUCAGAGCACGUAGCACAUAUAUUAGAGUAAAUUAAAAAAUUUAAGAGAAAAAAACCCUAGGCUGUUUGGGGCCAGGAGCGUGUGUCCGUGCAACAGAAAGAGGGAGAAGAGACGGAACUAACCCCAUAUCCAUUUCAUUGUAGUCGUCAUCCGCCAUGAUUGAUUAUGGAAGACAAGCAAAACUAGGGAUACUGAAGCAAAAACCCUAAGCAGGGAUACUGAAGCAAAAACCCUUUCUCUACUUUAUCCGGAGUUAAUUUGGUUAAAGUAUGCCCGUAUGUAUCGCCAAUUCGCUCUUCACCAACACCGACCUCCUCC
rnacentral:lncRNA from 1 species